UACGGAGGGUGCAAGCGUUGUUCGGAAUCAUUGGGCGUAAAGCGCGUGUAGGCGGCUUGGCAAGUCAGUUGUGAAAGCCCGGGCCAACCCCGGAACUGCAUCUGAAACUGCUUGGGCUCGAGUCCCGGAGAGGAAGGCAGAAUUCCCGGUGUAGGGGUGAAAUCCGUAGAUAUCGGGAGGAAUACCAGCGGCGAAGGCGGCCUUCUGGACGGUGACUGACGCUGAGACGCGAAAGCGUGGGGAGCAAACAGG
rnacentral:rRNA from 1 species